GCUGGCGGCGUGCUUAACACAUGCAAGUCGAACGAUGAAAGCAGGAGCUUGCUUCUGCUGGAUUAGUGGCGAACGGGUGAGUAACACGUGAGUAACCUGCCCUUGACUCUGGGAUAAGCGUUGGAAACGACGUCUAAUACCGGAUACGAGCUAGGACCGCAUGGUCACUAGUUGGAAAGAAUUUUGGUCAAGGAUGGACUCGCGGCCUAUCAGCUAGUUGGUGAGGUAACGGCCCACCAAGGCGACGACGGGUAGCCGGCCUGAGAGGGUGACCGGCCACACUGGGACUGAGACACGGCCCAGACUCCUACGGGAGGCAGCAGUGGGGAAUAUUGCACAAUGGGCGAAAGCCUGAUGCAGCAACGCCGCGUGAGGGACGACGGCCUUCGGGUUGUAAACCUCUUUUAGCAGGGAAGAAGCGAAAGUGACGGUACCUGCAGAAAAAGCACCGGCUAACUACGUGCCAGCAGCCGCGGUAAUACGUAGGGUGCAAGCGUUGUCCGGAAUUAUUGGGCGUAAAGAGCUCGUAGGCGGUUUGUCGCGUCUGCUGUGAAAAUCCGAGGCUCAACCUCGGACCUGCAGUGGGUACGGGCAAACUAGAGUGCGGUAGGG
rnacentral:rRNA from 1 species